rnacentral:misc_RNA from 1 species
GAUGAAGAACGCAGCGAAAUGCGAUAAGUAGUGUGAAUUGCAGAAUUCAGUGAAUCAUCGAAACUUUGAACGCACAUUGCGCCCCUUGGUAUUCCAUGGGGCAUGCCUGUUCGAGCGUCAUUUGUACCUUCAAGCUCUGCUUGGUGUUGGGUGUUUGUCCUUGCUCUAGUGGCGGGACUCGCCUUAAAGUAAUUGGCAGCCAGUGUUUUGGUUUUGAAGCGCAGCACAAGUCGCGAUUCAAGUCUAUACGCUAGUUUCCACAAGUCUUUUAUCACUUUUGACCUCGGAUCAGGUAGGGAUACCCGCUGAACUUAAGCAUAUCAAUAAGCGGAGGA